GACAGAGGGGGCAAGCGUUGUCCGGAGUUACUGGGCGUAAAGAGCGCGCAGGCGGUCGUGCAAGUCGCGUGUGAAAGCCCCCGGCUCAACUGGGGAGGGUCACGCGAUACUGUUCGACUCGAAGGCAGGAGAGGGAAGCGGAAUUCCCGGUGUAGUGGUGAAAUGCGUAGAUAUCGGGAGGAACACCAGUGGCGAAGGCGGCUUCCUGGCCUGUUCUUGACGCUGAGGCGCGAAAGCUAGGGUAGCAAACGGG
rnacentral:rRNA from 1 species